rnacentral:rRNA from 1 species
CUAACAAGGAUUCCCCUAGUAACUGCGAGUGAAGCGGGAAAAGCUCAAAUUUAAAAUCUGGCAGUGUUAUGCUGUCCGAGUUGUAAACUAGAGAAGUGCAGCCCGUGCUGGACCGUGUACAAGUCUUCUGGAAUGGAGCGUCACAGAGGGUGAGAAUCCCGUCUUUGACACGGAYUACCAGUGCAUUGUGGUUGUGCGCUCAACGAGUCGAGUUGUUUGGGAAUGCAGCUCUAAAUGGGUGGUAAAUUCCAUCUAAAGCUAAAUAUUGGCGAGAGACCGAUAGCGAACAAGUACCGUGAGGGAAAGAUGAAAAGAACUUUGGAAAGAGAGUUAAACAGUAUGUGAAAUUGUUGAAAGGGAAACGUUUGAAGUCAGUCAUGUUGUCUGGGGAUCAGUUCAGCUAAUUUGCUGAGUGUACUUCCUGGUUGACAGGCCAACAUCAGUUUUGACUGCCAGAGAAAGGCUGAGGGAAUGUGGCACCUUUGGGUGUGUUAUAGCUCUUGGUUGUAUGUGGUAGUUGGGACUGAGGAAAGCAGCGUGCCGCAAGGCUGGGUUUCGACCACAUUUGCGCUUAGGAUGUUGGCAUAAUGGCUUUAAGCGACCCGUCUUGAAACACGGACCAAGGAGUCUAACAUGCAUGCGAGUGUUUGGGUGGAAAACCCUGACGCGUAAUGAAAGUGAAAGUUGAGAACCCUGUUGUGGGGAGCAUCGACGCCCGGACCAGAACUAUUGGGACGGAUCUGCGGUAGAGCAUGUAUGUUGGGACCCGAAAGAUGGUGAACUAUGCCUGAAUAGGGUGAAGCCAGAGGAAACUCUGGUGGAGGCUCGUAGCGAUUCUGACGUGCAAAUCGAUCGUCGAAUUUGGGUAUAGGGGC